rnacentral:rRNA from 1 species
AUGUACUAUUUGGGUUCUGGUGGACCGCUGCCUGUUCAGGGGUUCAGGGCAACCUUUGGCUCACUUCAUUUGAGAAUCCCCGUCCACCACCGGCGCACUUGCCACCGGAAUUCCCCACCGCCGCCGCUGCCCCGCCGUCGCGGCGUCAUGCUCCACCUCCGGAACCGCAUACUCCCCCACCUCCUCUCAGCCACGCCCUCUCCUUCUACAUCCCCACUCCUCUCUCUCGACCGCCUCCUCUCCGCCGUUUCCCCGAACCCUAGCUUCGCCGUCGGCGACUACCUCGUCGACACCUGCGGCCUCACCCGUGCCCAGGCACUCAAGGUCUCCGCCACGCUCUCCCACCUCAAGUCCCCCGCCAAGCCCGACGCGGUCCUCGCCUUCCUCGCCGGCCUCGGCCUCUCCGGCGCUGAUGUCGCGGCCGUCGUCGCCAGGGACCCGAAGAUCCUCUGCGCCGCCGUGGAGAAAACGCUGUCCCCCGUCCUCGCUGGGCUCACCGGCCUCGGCCUGUCACAAGCUGAGAUUGCGCGCCUCGUCUCGUUCGCCCCCGCCCACUUCCGCCUCAGAUCCGUCGUCUCCAAGAUAGAGUACUACCUGCCGCUCUGCGGCUCCAUCGAAAACCUGCUCCAGCCGCUCAAGCAAGGCUCCUCCAUCCUCGGCUCUGACCUCGAGAGGGUGGUCAAGCCCAAUGUCAAUCUCCUAGCAGAGUGCGGGCUGGGUGCUUGUGAUAUUGCCAAGCUCUUCAUCCGUGUGCCGAGGAUACUUUAUGCCAAACCAGCGCGUGUCCUGGAGAUGGUUGCGUGCGCCGAAGGUAUAGGUGUGCCCCGUGGCUCCGGAAUGUUCAGGCGCGCUCUGCAGUCUGUUGCAUUCCUCAGCAAGGAGAAGAUCGCCACCAGAAUGGACUACUUGAAGAAGACGGUUAGGUGGUCGGAUGCGGAGGUUGGCAUUGCUGUGUCCAAGGGUCCAUCUGUGCUCGUGACGUCAAAGGACAUGCUGAAGCGCAGGUCUGAAUUCCUUAUCUCUGAGGUGGGGUUGGAGCCGGCGUACAUUGCCCGCCGCCCAUCAUUGCUCAAUUAUAGCUUGGAGGGCCGGCUCAGGCCCCGGUACUAUGUUAUGAAGUUUCUUACGGAAAACAGAUUGCUCAAGCGUGCCAUGUGCUACUAUACAUUUGUCAAGGCCACCGAGAUGGAAUUCUUGGACAAGUUCAUAUGCCCUUACAAGGAAGCUGCACCACACCUUGCUGAAGACUAUGCAGCUGCUUGCAAAGGGGAAGUGCCAACUAGAUUCAGGUUUACAUGA